rnacentral:rRNA from 1 species
UACGUAGGGUGCGAGCGUUGUCCGGAAUUAUUGGGCGUAAAGAGCUCGUAGGCGGUUUGUCACGUCUGCUGUGAAAUCCCGAGGCUCAACCUCGGGCCUGCAGUGGGUACGGGCAGACUGGAGUGCGGUAGGGGAGAAUGGAAUUCCUGGUGUAGCGGUGGAAUGCGCAGAUAUCAGGAGGAACACCGGUGGCGAAGGCGGUUCUCUGGGCAUUACCUGACGCUGAGGAGCGAAAGUGUGGGGAGCGAACAGG